rnacentral:rRNA from 1 species
AGAGUUUGAUCAUGGCUCAGAUUGAACGCUGGCGGCAGGCCUAACACAUGCAAGUCGAACGGUAACAGGAAGCAGCUUGCUGCUUUGCUGACGAGUGGCGGACGGGUGAGUAAUGUCUGGGAAACUGCCUGAUGGAGGGGGAUAACUACUGGAAACGGUGGCUAAUACCGCAUAACGUCGCAAGACCAAAGAGGGGGACCUUCGGGCCUCUUGCCAUCAGAUGUGCCCAGAUGGGAUUAGCUUGUUGGUGGGGUAACGGCUCACCAAGGCGACGAUCCCUAGCUGGUCUGAGAGGAUGACCAGCCACACUGGAACUGAGACACGGUCCAGACUCCUACGGGAGGCAGCAGUGGGGAAUAUUGCACAAUGGGCGCAAGCCUGAUGCAGCCAUGCCGCGUGUAUGAAGAAGGCCUUCGGGUUGUAAAGUACUUUCAGCGGGGAGGAAGGUGUUGUGGUUAAUAACCGCAGCAAUUGACGUUACCCGCAGAAGAAGCACCGGCUAACUCCGUGCCAGCAGCCGCGGUAAUACGGAGGGUGCAAGCGUUAAUCGGAAUUACUGGGCGUAAAGCGCACGCAGGCGGUCUGUCAAGUCGGAUGUGAAAUCCCCGGGCUCAACCUGGGAACUGCAUUCGAAACUGGCAGGCUUGAGUCUUGUAGAGGGGGGUAGAAUUCCAGGUGUAGCGGUGAAAUGCGUAGAGAUCUGGAGGAAUACCGGUGGCGAAGGCGGCCCCCUGGACAAAGACUGACGCUCAGGUGCGAAAGCGUGGGGAGCAAACAGGAUUAGAUACCCUGGUAGUCCACGCCGUAAACGAUGUCUACUUGGAGGUUGUGCCCUUGAGGCGUGGCUUCCGGAGCUAACGCGUUAAGUAGACCGCCUGGGGAGUACGGCCGCAAGGUUAAAACUCAAAUGAAUUGACGGGGGCCCGCACAAGCGGUGGAGCAUGUGGUUUAAUUCGAUGCAACGCGAAGAACCUUACCUGGUCUUGACAUCCACAGAACUUUCCAGAGAUGGACUGGUGCCUUCGGGAACUGUGAGACAGGUGCUGCAUGGCUGUCGUCAGCUCGUGUUGUGAAAUGUUGGGUUAAGUCCCGCAACGAGCGCAACCCUUAUCCUUUGUUGCCAGCGGUCCGGCCGGGAACUCAAAGGAGACUGCCAGUGAUAAACUGGAGGAAGGUGGGGAUGACGUCAAGUCAUCAUGGCCCUUACGACCAGGGCUACACACGUGCUACAAUGGCGCAUACAAAGAGAAGCGACCUCGCGAGAGCAAGCGGACCUCAUAAAGUGCGUCGUAGUCCGGAUUGGAGUCUGCAACUCGACUCCAUGAAGUCGGAAUCGCUAGUAAUCGUGGAUCAGAAUGCCACGGUGAAUACGUUCCCGGGCCUUGUACACACCGCCCGUCACACCAUGGGAGUGGGUUGCAAAAGAAGUAGGUAGCUUAACCUUCGGGAGGGCGCUUACCACUUUGUGAUUCAUGACUGGGGUGAAGUCGUAACAAGGUAACCGUAGGGGAACCUGCGGUUGGAUCACCU